AGAGUUUGAUCCUGGCUCAGGACGAACGCUGGCGGCGUGCCUAACACAUGCAAGUCGAGCGAGAACGCCUCCUUCGGGAGGUUAGUAAAGCGGCGAACGGGUGAGUAACACGUGAGCGAUCUACCCGAUGGCGGGGGAUAACCCAGGGAAACCUGGGCUAAUACCGCAUACAGCACCGGCUUGGAAGCCGGAUGUGAAAGCUGGCCUCUCGAAGAAGCUGGCACCGUUGGAUGAGCUCGCGGCCUAUCAGCUAGUUGGUGGGGUAAUGGCCUACCAAGUCUACGAUCUAUAGCUGGUUUGAGAGGAUGAUCAGCAACACUGGGACUGAGACACGGCCCAGACUCCUACGGGAGGCAGCAGUGGGGAAUCUUAGACAAUGGGCGCAAGCCUGAUCUAGCGAUGCCGCGUGAGUGACGAAGGCCUUAGGGUCGUAAAGCUCUUUCGCCAGGGAUGAUAAUGACAGUACCUGGUAAAGAAACCCCGGCUAACUCCGUGCCAGCAGCCGCGGUAAUACGGAGGGGGUUAGCGUUGUUCGGAAUUACUGGGCGUAAAGCGCACGUAGGCGGAUCAAUAAGUUAGAGGUGAAAUCCCAGGGCUCAACCCUGGAACUGCCUUUAAUACUGUUGGUCUAGAGUUCGAGAGAGGUAAGUGGAAUUCCGAGUGUAGAGGUGAAAUUCGUAGAUAUUCGGAGGAACACCAGUGGCGAAAGCGGCUUACUGGCUCGAUACUGACGCUGAGGUGCGAAAGUGUGGGGAGCAAACAGGAUUAGAUACCCUGGUAGUCCACACCGUAAACGAUGAAUGCCAGACGUCAGGGGCUUGCCCUUUGGUGUCACACCUAACGGAUUAGCAUUCGCCUGGGGAGUACGGUCGCAGAUAAACUCAAAGGAAUGACGGGGCCGCACAGCGGUGAGCAUGUUAUAUCGAGCACGCGCAGACUACACCCUGACAUCUCUGACCGCCUGAAAAAAUCAGUUUCUUUACGGACAGAAGUGACAA
rnacentral:rRNA from 1 species